rnacentral:rRNA from 1 species
UCGAGAAUUUUUCACAAUGGGCGCAAGCCUGGUGGAGCGACGCCGCGUGGGGGAUGAAUGGCUUCGGCCCGUAAACCCCUGUCAUUUGCGAUCAACCGUUAUUAUUUAAAAGAUGAUAACCUGAUAGUAGCGAAAGAGGAAGGGACGGCUAACUCUGUGCCAGCAGCCGCGGUAAUACAGAGGUCCCAAGCGUUGUUCGGAUUUACUGGGCGUAAAGGGUGCGUAGGUGGCGGUGUAAGUCGGAUGUGAAAUCUCCGAGCUCAACUCGGAAACUGCAUUGGAAACUACAUUGCUCGAGGGUUGGAGGGGGGACUGGAAUACUUGGUGUAGCAGUGAAAUGCGUAGAUAUCAAGUGGAACACCAGUGGCGAAGGCGAGUCCCUGGACAACUCCUGACACUGAGGCACGAAAGCUAGGGGAGCACACAG